rnacentral:rRNA from 1 species
AUUGAACGCUGGCGGAAUGCUUUACAUAUGCAAGUCGAACGGCAGCACGGGUGCUUGCACCUGGUGGCGAGUGGCGAACGGGUGAGUAACAUAUCGGAACGUACCCAGUAAUGGGGGAUAACUAAGCGAAAGCUUAGCUAAUACCGCCUACGCCCUGAGGGGGAAAGCGGGGGAUCGAAAGACCUCGCGUUAUUGGAGCGGCCGAUAUCUGAUUAGCUAGUUGGUGGGGUAAAGGCCCACCAAGGCGACGAUCAGUAGCUUGUCUGAGAGGAUGAUCAGCCAGACUGGAACUGAGACACUGUCCAGACACCUACGGGAGGCAGCAGUGGGGAAUUUUGGACAAUGGGGGCAACCCUGAUCCAGCCAUUCCGCGUGAGUGAAGAAGGCCUUCGGGUUGUAAAGCUCUUUCGGCAGGGAAGAAACGCUCUGGGUUAAUAACCUGGGGUAAUGACGGUACCUGAAGAAGAAGCACCGGCUAACUACGUGCCAGCAGCCGCGGUAAUAC